ACGGCGUGCCUUUUGCAUAAUGAGUCUGCGAGUUAUUGUCUGUGGCAAGCCUAAGUUCUUCUGGAAUGGAGGCGAAGCGAAAGCGAGUGUGAAAUGCGCGUUUAGUGGCAGGCGAUAGACCCGAAGCGGAGGUGAUCUACUCAUGAGCAGGUUGAAGCUGCGGUAACACGCAGUGAAGGACCGAACCGGUGUAUGUUGAAAAAUGCUCGGAUGACUUGUGAGUAGGAGCGAAAGACUAAUCAAACCCCGUAAUAGCUGGUUCUCUCCGAAAUAGCUUGAGGGCUAGCGUCGGAUAAGUACUCCGAGGAGGUAGAGCGCUGGAUGGACUAGGGCCCAUACCCGGGUACCAAAACCAAUCAAACUCCGAAUGCCUCGGAUCUCAUUACCCCGGCAGUCAGUCGGCGAGGGAUAAGCUUCGUCGGCGCGAGGGAAACAUCCCAGACCGCCAGCUAAGGUGCCUAAAUAUGAUUAAGUGGAAAGGAUGUGACGUUGCUUAGACAGUGAGGAUGUUGGCUUAGAGGCAGCCACCAUUUAAACAAUGCGUAAUAGCUGACUCAUCGAGCGAUGUUGCGCCGAAAAUGAUUGGCGAUUAAAUCAUAUACCGAAGCUGCGGAUUUGCAGUGGAUUCGUCCGCUGUAAGUGGUAGGAGAGCGUAAUCAACGUUGUGAAGCUCGACGGUAACGGAAAGUGGAGCGUUGAUUAGUGAGAAUGCAGACAUGAGUAGCGAGAGACAGGUGUGAAUCCUGUCCGCUGAAUGACUAAGGGUUCCGG
rnacentral:rRNA from 1 species